GAUGAACGCUGGCGGCGUGCCUAAUACAUGCAAGUCGAGCGAACGGACGAGAAGCUUGCUUCUCUGAUGUUAGCGGCGGACGGGUGAGUAACACGUGGAUAACCUAUCUAUAAGACUGGGAUAACUUCGGGAAACCGGAGCUAAUAUCGGAUAAUAUUUUGAACCGCAUGGUUCAAAAGUGAUAGACGGUCUUGCUGUCACUUAUAGAUGGAUCCGCGCUGCAUUAGCUAGUUGGUAAGGUAACGGCUUACCAAGGCAACGAUGCAUAGCCGACCUGAGAGGGUGAUCGGCCACACUGGAACUGAGACACGGUCCAGACUCCUACGGGAGGCAGCAGUAGGGAAUCUUCCGCAAUGGGCGAAAGCCUGACGGAGCAACGCCGCGUGAGUGAUGAAGGUCUUCGGAUCGUAAAACUCUGUUAUUAGGGAAGAACAUAUGUGUAAGUAACUGUGCACAUCUUGACGGUACCUAAUCAGAAAGCCACGGCUAACUACGUG
rnacentral:rRNA from 1 species